rnacentral:tRNA from 1 species
GGCGAGGUCGCUCAACUGGCAGAGCAUAAGAGCAUCAUGUAUGUGAUGCAAACAGCUAUUACUUUCUCUCAUCAAGAAAAACUGGUGGUUCGAAUCCACCCCUUGCCA